GACGAACGCUGGCGGCGUGCUUAACACAUGCAAGUCGAACGCUGAAGCUUGGUGCUUGCACUGGGUGGAUGAGUGGCGAACGGGUGAGUAAUACGUGAGUAACCUGCCCUUGACUCUGGGAUAAGCCUGGGAAACUGGGUCCAAUACUGGAUACGACAUGUCACCGCAUGGUGGUGUGUGGAAAGGGUUUUACUGGUUUUGGAUGGGCUCACGGCCUAUCAGCUUGUUGGUGGGGUAAUGGCUCACCAAGGCGACGACGGGUAGCCGGCCUGAGAGGGUGACCGGCCACACUGGGACUGAGACACGGCCCAGACUCCUACGGGAGGCAGCAGUGGGGAAUAUUGCACAAUGGGCGGAAGCCUGAUGCAGCGACGCCGCGUGAGGGAUGACGGCCUUCGGGUUGUAAACCUCUUUCAGCACGGAAGAAGCGACAGUGACGGUACGUGCAUAAGAAGCUCCGGCUAACUACGUG
rnacentral:rRNA from 1 species